GACCUGUUGCUCUGCUUCUUGGUAGAGCAUGAGAUUUUUAAUCUCAGGGUUGUGGGUUCAAGCCCCAAGUUGAACA